GAUGAACGCUGGCGGCGUGCUUAACACAUGCAAGUCGAACGAGAAGUGGAGACGGAAACCUUCGGGCGGAAGACUUUACUUCGAGUGGCGGACGGGUGAGUAACGCGUGGGUAACCUGCCUCAUACAGGGGGAUAACAGUUGGAAACGACUGUUAAUACCGCAUAAGACCACAGCACCGCAUGGUGCGGGGGUAAAAACUCCGGUGGUAUGAGAUGGACCCGCGUUCGAUUAGCCAGUUGGCGGGGUAACGGCCCACCAAAGCGACGAUCGAUAGCCGAUCUGAGAGGAUGCCCGGCCACAUUGGGACUGAGACACGGCCCAAACUCCUACGGGAGGCAGCAGUGGGGAAUAUUGCACAAUGGGGGAAACCCUGAUGCAGCGACGCCGCGUGAGUGAAGAAGUAUUUCGGUAUGUAAAGCUCUAUCAGCAGGGAAGAAAAUGACAGUACCUGAGUAAGAAGCCCCGGCUAACUACGUG
rnacentral:rRNA from 1 species